UGUUGCAUAAGGUGGCCGCUGGCACAAACU
rnacentral:piRNA from 1 species